GUGGGGGGUAUGUGUGCACACACACACUAGUCUUCUUUUUGUCCAUUCAUGGCUUUGUGUCUUGUUUGGACUCCCUUCAUGCACUCAGGUACAGAAGUCAAGGAAGGGAAUUCUCAUCAUGGCAUCCUUAUAACCUGAGCCUUAUUGACAUUCUUCAUUUCAUCCUGAAUAUCAACUUCAGAAAGAGAAAAUGUUGGUGCAAAGAGUGUGCACCUUUGGAGCCCUCUAAUAAGUGAUGCCAUCCUGACAUUCAUAAAGUUGGUGCUGCUUGGACUUCCCAAGCUGUGGAGGAGUAAGGAAAGUAACAAUGCUGAUAGUCUGUCACAGAGGACAGGCCUUGGACCCUGUAGAGGACCCCCUGUCAAACCUGUGCUGCACAUGGAAGUGAUGAGGUAUUUGUUGUUCGAGGAAGAGAGAUGAGUAGAAGAGAAGGAAAAGGCCCUGGUGAGAAGCCCAUUGUACCUUCUGUUGUUUUGAACACUACCCAGUUGUACUAGUGCCUUCUUCUGGCUUUGGGACUCAGUGCUCAGCUGCCAGUGCACAGCUCUUCCUCUGGUGACUGAGCUCCUAUCAAGAGUCUGAAGAAGACAGUUUCUCCGGAUGUGGGUCAUGAGGGCUGCUGAAAUGUCUUCUCCAGAUCUGAAGGGCAGCGUGCUCAGGAGACCUUC